UUUAAGUGUGUUGAAUUUUACUUAUUUUUUGCUUGCUAUCCAAGAGAAUCUUCAAUAACCGGCGUCUUAAUGGAAAAGGUAGAAGGAAACUAUUUGUUGAGGCUUUAAAUCUAAGCUUAUCGCGGGAUUUUUAACGACAUUCACCGGUUUCGUAAAGCGGUCUUUUGUUUUGGCGCAAUGCGGAAGUGUCGUCUUGAUGCAGUUUUUUAGCUAAAAAGUUGACGAAUUCUUCGUCUCACAACGUCUGUCAUUUGUUUUACGUUUGCCAUCAGUUUUAGGCAGUAACUGUUAGCUGUCGAGAGUACCGGAACAGACUGUGAAGUAUUUCUAUAGAUCUAAAUAUGGUUCGUAAAAAAGGACAUUUUGUCUGGCAUUCGGAAUUCCUACACUAGUGAUCCAUGAGGACUUUAUCCAGUUUCCAGAAUGGCAGGAAGGAAGGACUUAUUGAAUUGGACCACUUGACAAGGCAGCUUACAAAAGUCAGAAAUUUAAAAGCAGCCACUCCGCGACAGUAAAUUAAAGCUUGUCUACAUUUUCCAUAAAAUUUCCAAAAUAAAUACUGGAAAAAAAAACAACAUGGAAAUACAUACGACAUCAACACAAAAUAGCACAGCACCAGAAUGAAUGCGGAAGUUGUCAUGAGUGGUGUGGCAUUGUUCCUGUUCAUUUAUGGUUUACAGAUUCCAAAAGUCUGAACCAGAUAUGAGUAGAGUACAGUUUGAGAAAUGUCUUGGUAGAACAGAUACUAAGGAAAUAAUAAAGAGCACAUUUCUCCUUCUUAUAACUGGUAAAGUUCGAAGUAAGGGCGAGUACAAUAAUGCAGCCCCAGUGAGAGUUCGUGAUGAGGUGUCAACUGUAAAUGUGUGGUCGUUAAAUGAUGUGCAGUCAGAUUGACAAGUAUUUGAAGUAACAUUAAUUUAUAAAUUAUCAAUUCUGAGAGAAAUUUUUGCUGAGCUUUGUGCAGGAUACUCUUAAAAAAUACGUAAACCAGAAUUUUAUAUUAUAAGUACAAUGUCAGAUGUACUCCAGACUUCACACAUAUGUUGAUAUUUAUACAUAUGUGGUGAUUAAUUUGUCAAGUGAAGAAAUUUUAUGAAUGUUAGUGGGUGACAGAACAGAAGUACAAAGUCAAUUACAGAGGUCGACAACACUUGAGUUUAGGAUGCAGAAAAAAUCCGGUGAUUCUGACGAAACAACAUACAUAGAAAGGUUAUACUAGUAAAAUGAAAACUUUUAGUGUAUGGAAAAGUUUGGAAGCAGGUUUACCAUUGACAGAAGAGACAGUAUUUACAGACUGGUCUACACUUAUUACCUGCGGCCUGAAGGCCGCAGGUAUAUUGGAAUGCAACAAGUAGUAUAGCAUAUGGGGACUGGGUGAUUUCACGUGACUUUUUACCGAUAUGCGAUUGGCUUAUCGCAUUUAUGGAACGCCAUUUUUGCAAUAUAGCUAGCACUCUAUAUGAUAUAUAGAGAAAUGUUUGUGACUUGAAUUCCUCAUUCAUUAUUUCAUAUAAUUUAUUCAAACUUUCAGCAAUGAUCAAUAUUGAUACCUUGUUGUGCAUAAGGGUUUUUAUGUUAAUUACUCUUCAAUUUUCUAGAUUAUGGUCCUGUGUUGUCAAGCAAGUCCAGGUGAAGGCACGAAUCACAUUUGUGAAAGCUUUAGUAAAGUAUUUCAAUAAUCAAGGAAUGCGACCAGUUGUGCUUAAAGUUAUGUUAUACAUGAAAGGGAAAUAUAGUUAUUUUUGCUCAAAACAAUAACUUUCAGAAUUAAGAAAUACAUAGUUCAUAUAUCUACUUGUAAAUCAUGUAGAAUGGAGUAAUAUUUCUUACAUUAAAGCGUAAUGGUAUGAUAAAAACAAAACAAGUACUUUAUUCGCCCAUAAGUUACUAUCAACAAUUUCUGGCCGGUAUAACUUCUGGCCGCAGGAAAUCUUUCGACUUGUUUUGAUUUGACUUUUACACGGUGAUUCCUCCAGUAAACAGCUAGUGAUCUGAGAGAAUUGUGUUCAUUAUAUCAUACAGGUUUAGAGUGAAUGUAAAAUUAAUGUGUAUUUAAAUCAAUCAAAAUUUUUCAAAAUUGGAUGUUGAAACUUUACAACUGUUUAGUAUUUCAGUAAUCAGUUAGGAUUUUUGAGUGAUUUCAAUAAAGUAUAAAUUAAAAAAAAAAAGAAUCACUAUCAGCCAAGAUGAUGUGCUAUUGUAAAAGAUAGAAAGAAAAUUCACAAGUCACAUUAACUUGGUAAAAGGGAUUUUAACAGAAUUAAACUAUAAUUGGUGAAGGAAUCUGCAUGUUGUAUCAAAUAGCUAUAAUGUAUUUUGUAGUUCUUUGGAUGUAUCUUCUAUCUAUCUCUUUUCAAACUAAAUUUUAUCUCUUAAAUCUAUUGAAAUUGCCAUCAAAAUAAAAAUUUCUUUUAAAAACAAUAUAUUUAACAAUUAAAAGGUAUAUUCAACAA